AUUGAACGCUGGCGGCAGGCUUAACACAUGCAAGUCGAGCGGGGUGAUGUGCUUCGGUACUGAUCCUAGCGGCGGACGGGUGAGUAAUGCUUAGGAAUCUGCCAUUUAGUGGGGGACAACAUUCCGAAAGGAAUGCUAAUACCGCAUACGUCCUACGGGAGAAAGCAGGGGAUCUUCGGACCUUGCGCUAAAUGAUGAGCCUAAGUCGGAUUAGCUAGUUGGUGGGGUAAAGGCCUACCAAGGCGACGAUCUGUAGCGGGUCUGAGAGGAUGAUCCGCCACACUGGGACUGAGACACGGCCCAGACUCCUACGGGAGGCAGCAGUGGGGAAUAUUGGACAAUGGGCGGAAGCCUGAUCCAGCCAUGCCGCGUGUGUGAAGAAGGCCUUUUGGUUGUAAAGCACUUUAAGCGAGGAGGAGGCUACUUGGAUUAAUACUCUGGGAUAGUGGACGUUACUCGCAGAAUAAGCACCGGCUAACUCUGUGCCAGCAGCCGCCGUAAGAC
rnacentral:rRNA from 1 species